rnacentral:rRNA from 1 species
GACGAACGCUGGCGGCGUGCCUAAUACAUGCAAGUCGAACGCAGUGGGGACGGGUGAGUAACACGUGGGUAACCUCCCAUCAGAGGGGAUAAAACUUGGAAACAGGUGCUAAACCGACACUGAUGGAUGGACCCGCGGUGCAUUAGCUAGUUGGUGAGGUAACGGCGCACCAAGGCCACGCUGCAUAGCCGACCUGAGAGGGUGCUCGCCCGCACUGGGGCGGAGACACGGCCCAGACUCCUACGGGCGGCAGCAGUAGGGAAUCUUCGGCAAUGGACGAAAGUCUGACCGAGCAACGCCGCGUGAGUGAAGAAGGUUUUCGGAUCGUAAAACUCUGUUGUUAGAGAAGCGGUAUCUAACCAGAAAGCCACGGCUGACUACGUGCCAGCAGCCGCGGUAAUAC